GCCGCCCGGGUUCCGCCGCCCUCCGCCCGCGGCGCCGGGCGCCGCUGACCUCGACGCGCCGUGCCGUCACCGGGCGCCGCCUCCCCUCGUCCGAGGGCCGACAACCGAGCGCGACGACGCCGACGACUUCGUAGGUACCUCAGCGGUUGGGGGUUCAGCGGCAUGCUUUAAAACAAUUGGUAAGUACACUGCUAACGUAGACAGCUUUCCUCGAAAAGAUUUGACUUCAAACAACUUUAGGAUGAACGCAAGCUGAUACUGUGUUCUUUCUGACUUACAUAACCGUUGUUAUCGUGAACUUUUACUACAGAACCUCUUCUAAUUAAUACUUCUAAACUAGCUCCUAAAGUAUAGUUCUUUAUGAUCUUCUUGCGACGAAAAACCAUCUUUUACUCCUUGAAAGCGUGUUUCUUUUGUGUGUGUCCCGUCCUUGUACUCAUGAGAGCGGGAAGGUACAAAGACCAGCUAGCUUGAGAAGCCACUGGUCUUUUACUCUUUUCCCGUCCAGCAGCUACAUGUCUGGUGUCCGCGAGCCUGCGUGCCGGCCGUAGUACCAGCAGUAUCGAGUAUUGGGUACUCCCCCACUGCUUCGUUCUUUCCUUCUAGGGUACUUACAGUAAAACGUGGCUUCCAAACAUUGGUAACUCCUUACAAAAGAACGAGACUACAUAGUUCAACGGUACCCCCACUAGAUCUCCAGAGAAGGAACAGGUUUCAUACAGCAUGGAUUAGUUCUGUACAAGUAAAUUAAAUGGGCAGUACAUUUACUGUGUUGUACUAAGUGAACACAUAUCACAUUUGUAUAUAAAUAAAUACCGUUCGUCCACAAGUUUAAUAUCAACACUUUGCACAUAUCACAUUCCUAUAUUAAUAAUUCCCUUCACUGCAGUGUCACCAGCACGGACCAGAAGAGGCUCAGAUACGAACACCAAACACAAGAAAUCUAGACAAGUACGGGACUAUAACG
rnacentral:rRNA from 1 species